rnacentral:rRNA from 1 species
UACGUAGGGUGCAAGCGUUAAUCGGAAUUACUGGGCGUAAAGCGUGCGCAGGCGGUUUUGUAAGUUUGUCGUGAAAUCCCCGGGCUCAACCUGGGAAUUGCGAUGAAGACUGCAAGGCUAGAAUCUGGCAGAGGGGGGUAGAAUUCCACGUGUAGCAGUGAAAUGCGUAGAGAUGUGGAGGAAUACCGAUGGCGAAGGCAGCCCCCUGGGAUAAUACUGACGCUCAUGCACGAAAGCGUGGGGAGCAAACAGG